GUAUUGACCUGGCAGUGUAGUGACGGGGAUCACAAGUCUGUUCGCUAGGGCUGAGGCUUGCCCAUUGCACUCCGUGUGUGCUGACCUCUGCGAUGUCACAAAUGUGGGACACUGGACUGUGAAAUGUGUGGUGGUGGGGACAGUGUUCGUGCAUUCUCCUG